GAUAAACGCUGGCGGCGUGCCUAAUACAUGCAAGUCGAACGAGAGCGAUCCAGCUUGCUGGAUCAAUCUAGUGGCGAACGGGUGAGUAAUACAUAAGCAACCUGCCCACGAAGACCGGGAUAAUCUCUGGAAACGGGGACUAAUACCGGAUAGGUAACAAGAAGGCAUCUUCCUGUUAUUAAAGGUUAAAAACACUGGUGGAUGGGCUUAUGGCGCAUUAGUUAGUUGGUGAGGUAACGGCCCACCAAGACGAUGAUGCGUAGCCGGCCUGAGAGGGUGAACGGCCACAUUGGGACUGAGACACGGCCCAGACUC
rnacentral:rRNA from 1 species